AAGUAUCAUGUAUAAUGUCUAGAAAGAUCAGGCUGCCUAGAGUGUGGGCAUGAUGGCUGGAUAUCAAACAGCCAUUUCAGACCAUGAGGCAGAAGCCACAUGGAAGAUGGCAGAGCAAGAGGAUAGAAGGAGCUUGACUUCCUAAUGAUGAUGGAAUUUCCUGUGAUUUUUCAGCUGAGUCUAGUGCUAAUUAAAGCAACUAAAAGUUUGUCGAGAAGACUGAAAACCAUUUUGCUAAGUAGGAGUUAAUUAUAUUUAAUUAAAAAUAGGUGCUUGAAGUUACUUUUCACCAUGUCCAUCGAGACACUCACUUCUGCAUUAUGGCUCCAGAAAACCCUGUGAGGAUGAACAAGUGUCACUUGAGAGUGUACGAUGCAAGCAGUGCACGGAUUGGCCGCUAAGACUGUCCAGUGUGCGGAUGCCUCCCAGAAGAUAGCAGGGCUUUGAGAAGCAGGAAGGAACUCAGCAGGGUUGAACGGCGUGGCUGACUGGAAUGGACAACCUUGUACUGAAAGCACCUAAGUGAAGGGGUGCCUGGGUGGCUCAGUCAGUUGAGCGUCUGACUUCGGCUCGGGUCAUGAUCUCACGGCUCGUGAGUUCAAGCCCGUGCCAGGCUCUGUGCUGACAGCUUGGAGCCUGGAGCCUGCUUUGGAUUCUGUGUCACUCUCUCUCUCUGCCCCUAACCUACUUGCAUUACAUCUCUCUCGAAAGUAAAUAAACAUUAAAAAAAAAAAAAAAAAAGCACGUAAGGGACUCCAAGGUGUUUUUCCUUCUCAGAAAUGUCAUAGUUACCCCUCUUUCUGGAUUUCAUCCUAUUGUUACAUAUAAUUCUGCCAUGCUGCUGCUCUGUUCUUUUCUAGGUGGGGGAGGUAUUGCAAUACAAGUACUUGUUACUCUACAUGUAGGUCAUCUGCCAAGGUUUAGCUCUCUGUUGCAACCAGAUUCUGCUUGAAGGUUGGCCAUUCACCUGAUAGGUGGUGUUAACUGAAUUUCUUCUGCAUAACAGGGCUUGUUGGCAUCAAAAGGGCAAGGGAGAAACAAGAAAUUGACUUCAGAACCCCAGUUUGAGGGUGUACCAAGAAAUUAAUUUUGGAGAGAAUUGAGAUUGAAGUUAAUCAUUCCUUGGUUUGGUGAAUAUUUAUUGGGUCCCUACUACAUGCAAAACGCUGGGUUUACAAGCAAUGAAUAAAACUAGAAAGCAGUUAAACCACAAUAACAGAUGAUUUGUUAACAGCUCUAAGACAUGGAGACCCAAGAACCCUUUGAGGAAGAAAUGAAAAUUACCCAGAAAUAGUAAUUUUAUAUAUUAGCUCCUACCUUUUCCUUAAAAAAACUGAAAGUCCUGAAAUAGAACUCUUUUAUCAAAGAAGCCUGAUAGAAGCAUCCUUAAAGAAGAAGCAAUGCCUGCCUGGGGUAAGAUUACAGAGGAGGAAGAAUAGGGAAGUGUGACCUCUUUUCCUUGUGGCCCUUGGACACUAAGGGAUUUUUUUUUAAUUUUUUUUUUAACCUUUAUUUAUUUUUGAGACAGAGAGAGACAGAGCAUGAAUGGGGGAGGGUCAGAGAGAGAGGGAGACACAGACUCUGAAACAGGCUCCAGGCUCUGAGCGGUCAGCACAGAGCCCGACGCAGGGCUCGAACUCACGGACCGCGAGAUCGUGACCUGAGCCGAAGUCGGCCGCUUAACCGACUGAGCCACCCAGGCGCCCCACUAAGGGAUUUUUUUAAGGGACUGAGCAACUUAAUCAAGGGAAAUAAACACAAGUGGAAUUCCAAAACCUGAUUUUUGAAACCAAGAACUAUAAAACUGACAAAGACCCUGACACAGACAAGAUACCCAGUGUUAACUGAAUUCUAUUGAAAAUUAUAUUAUCACAGAGGCUCAUUAGCUUAAAUCGAGGAGCUGGAAAAAAAAAUUAAUGAGAAAAUAAAGAAUGAAAAAAAUCAUUUAAGAUUUAAAAGAGCUAUUUGUAAACUUGUUUACAAAGAAAUUAGUGUAAAAACCAAAAAUAAAAUCAAAGUGAGCUCAGCUCUUCUGGCCCAUGGAGAGUUUGGAAUCCUAGGAACAUCGCUGGUGACCUUGAAAAGGGGUUGCAUGUGAAUUGGGGACAGAAUGUCAAAACUUUGAUCAAAGGUUCCGUUGCUUAUUGAAAAGGACUCCACCCAAUAGAGGAAUCUUCUCUAUAGCAUUUCCAGCUAAAUGCUUUCUUUUUCAAAGAACAUCUCAUACAAUUUCGAUGGAGUAUUAUUUCAAACCUCAAGUUUAUUCUAAUUAACAGCUUUUCUGAGAAGAUAUAAACUCCAUUUAGAAAAACUUGAUUUACCACAUUUUAAAGGACACUGAAAGUUGAUAGUACAGUUUGCAAAAGACAAAUUCCUGACUCUUUUCUAUUUUGUUUAAUUUUACCUCCUGGAAUGUUCUCAGUUCUCUCAAGAGAUUGUAGAAUUCACUCUCAGAAUGAAAACAAUUUAAAUUCAUUUAAAAAUAAUUUAAUAAACACAACUAGACAACACAUAGCCCUUGGAGUGGAAAGAAGGACUGAAGUUUUUAACAAAUCUAACAAUAAACAUUAAGGGCUUGAAAUAACAGAACAUUAAGCAGCUUUUUCUGGGGACUGUUGUGUCUCCCCGCCCCCACUCGACCUUGUGGCUGAUCAGUGGGAGGUUUCUGCCUUAGCCUUCAACACAGUCCUUACUCUGCAUAUGUGGUUUGUGUUCAUAGUACAUUUUCACAGAAACAUAGAACAUGUGUCCUGUAAACUAACAGCCCUGACACUCCAACAUGCUUAGAAAUUUUAGAAAAUGAAAAGAAGUUGCUAUGGACUGAAUGUGCUGCCCCACCCCCACACACCCAAUUCUAAUCCCACCCAGCUUGGUAGCAUUUGGAGGUAGGGUUUGGGGGAGAAAAUUAGAGGCUAUCAUGAUAGGAUUAAUGCUCUUCUAAAAAGAGACGGGAACCUCCCCUCCCCCUCCACACAUGCACCAAGAAAGAGCCAUGUGAGGUCUCAAAGAGGACCAUCUGCAAAUCAGGAAGUGGGCUCUCAUCAGAAACCAAAUCUGGGGGUGCCUGGGUGGCUCACUGAGGUUAAUCAUCCAACUUUUGAUUUCGGCUCAGGUCAUGAGAACAAGCCCCUGUGUGGAGCCCCCAUGUUGAGCCCCUGCUUUGGGUCAAGCCCCUCUCUUUCUUUCUCUCUCACUCUCUGCUGCUCCCCCACUUGUGCGUGCGUGUGUGUGUGUGUGUGUGUGUGUGUGUGUGUGUGUGUUGCCACCUUGAUCUAGAUUCCUCAGCCUCCAGAACAAUGAGUAACAAGUGUCUGUUGUCUAAGCCACCCAAUCUAUGGUAUUUUGUUAUAGCAGCCACUGCUGAUGGAGACAACAAGCCUUCACAAGUCAGCUAGUUUACUGACUUGGCUUACGACCUGUGGAGAUCAAAUGAUAAUCUUUAUAUGUGAUAAGCAUACUGUAUCUGUUGAUGUCACCCAAAGAGAUCGCUACCAUGAUUUUCCAAUCUUGAUUGAGCCCCUACUCUAUGCUAGACAAUGAUCAAAUUUCAACUCCACGAAAGCUCUCAAUAUUUAGACUCCCAGAGUCUCUAAGAAGAAAACAGUAGCUUGGAAUUCUACACAUGGAAGAUCAGCAGGUUUUCAACAGCUAUAACUUUCCCAUGUUGUCUGGACCUUCUUGCGGCUACUACUGUUUGGUAGUUAAGGGUGAAAUCUGGGUACUCCAAGUGCUAAUAUUUUAUUUCUUUUUAAUUAAGAGGAAGUAGAAACAUGAAUAGCAACUAAGGUAGCAUUUACUAAAGGCUCAAAGGAAGAUAUUACUAAAGAUAUUUGAUACAGGAAUUUGGAGGGGAAAAUAAACUUAAGUGCAAGAAGGAGAAAGCCAACACAGGAAUAGCCACUGGAACAGUCCAGGUAAGAGCUUGAACCUGACUGGCCAUGGUGAGGAUAAGAGAAAAGAAGAAAGAAGAGACAUUAACUUGGAAGAGGGCUAUUUAUAAGGAACCACCUGUCUUAGUGAGGGAAUGGAUGCUGAGCAAUCAAACCAGAUUGGGGUUUUGAAUCUAAGUGACUGAAAAUGUUUGUAUGGAUAAAGUAUGGCAAACACAGGAAAGGCACAUUAGUAGAGGGGGAGGGGGUCAAUGUGGAAGUGGUUGAUUAUGAUCUUUUUAUCUGUUGAGUUUGAGGUGGCCGUUGUAUUUAUAGUAUGGCAAAGGGCAGGCCCUGGCGAGAGCUGCCUUCCUUGCAUUGGUGUUCCUUGGUGCACUAUUGGCUUUUACGCUGGGCCUCAGGCUGACCAGAUCCAGAUGUGAAGUUAACUCUUAGCAAGCUGAGUGACUGACCUUUAGUAGGU